UACGGAAGGCAGCAGUGGGGAAUAUUGCACAAUGGGCGCAAGCCUGAUGCAGCCAUGCCGCGUGUAUGAAGAAGGCCUUCGGGUUGUAAAGUACUUUCAGUCGUGAGGAAGGUGUUAAGGUUAAUAACCUUAGCAAUUGACGUUAGCGACAGAAGAAGCACCGGCUAACUCCGUGCCAGCAGCCGCGGUAAUACGGAGGGUGCGAGCGUUAAUCGGAAUUACUGGGCGUAAAGGGCACGCAGGCGGUUAAUAAGUUGGAUGUGAAAUCCCCGGGCUUAACCUGGGAAUGGCAUUCAAGACUGGUUAGCUAGAGUCUUGUAGAGGGGGUAGAAUUCCAUGUGUAGCGGUGAAAUGCGUAGAGAUGUGGAGGAAUACCGGUGGCGAAGGCGGCCCCUGGGACAAAGACUGACGCUCAUGUGCGAAAGCGUGGGGAGCAAACAGGAUUAGAUACC
rnacentral:rRNA from 1 species